GAGUUUGAUCAUGGCUCAGAACGAACGCUGGCGGCAUGCCUAACACAUGCAAGUCGAACGGAUGCAGCAAUGCAUCAGUGACGGACGGGUGAGUAACACGUGGGAAUCUACCCAGUAGCCUGGAAUAACCGCGGGAAACUGCGGCUAAUACCGGAUACGCCCCGAGGGGGAAAGGAGCAAUCCACUAUUGGAGGAGCCCGCGUCCGAUUAGCUAGUUGGUGAGGUAACGGCUCACCAAGGCGACGAUCGGUAGCUGGUCUGAGAGGACGACCAGCCACACUGGGACUGCGACACGGCCCAGACUCCUACGGGAGGCAGCAGUGGGGAAUAUUGGACAAUGGGGGAAACCCUGAUCCAGCAAUGCCGCGUGGGUGAUGAAGGCCUUCGGGUUGUAAAGCCCUUUUGGUCGGGGACGAUGAUGACGGUACCGCAGAAGAAGCCCCGGCUAACUUCGUGCCAGCCGCCGCCGUAAC
rnacentral:rRNA from 1 species